rnacentral:rRNA from 1 species
ACUCCUACGGGAGGCAGCAGUAAGGAAUAUUGGACAAUGGGCGAAAGCCUGAUCCAGCCAUGCCGCGUGGUGGAUGACGGCCCUCCGGGUUGUAAACACCUUUUAUCUGGGGAUAAUGGUUUCCUAUACGGAAGCUUGCAGGUACCAGAUGAAUAAGCACCGGCUAACUACGUGCCAGCAGCCGCGGUAAUACGUAGGUGGCAAGCGUUAUCCGGAAUUAUUGGGCGUAAAGCGCAUGUAGGCGGCUCUUUAAGUCUGAUGUGAAAGCCUGUGGCUCAACCACAGAAUUGCAUUGGAUACUGGAGAGCUAGAAUCUUGGAGAGGUAAGUGGAAUUUCAUGUGUAGCGGUGGAAUGCGUAGAUAUAUGAAGGAACACCAAUGGCGAAGGCAGCUUACUGGACAAGUAUUGACGCUGAGAUGCGAAAGUGUGGGGUAGCAAACAGGAUUAGAUACCCUGGUAGACUGUCAU